rnacentral:rRNA from 1 species
UACAGAGGGGGCAAGCGUUGUUCGGAAUUACUGGGCGUAAAGGGCGCGUAGGCGGCCUGUUAAGUCGAACGUGAAAUCCCCGGGCUCAACCCGGGAACUGCGUCCGAUACUGGCAGGCUUGAAUCCGGGAGAGGGAUGUGGAAUUCCAGGUGUAGCGGUGAAAUGCGUAGAUAUCUGGAGGAACACCGGUGGCGAAGGCGGCAUCCUGGACCGGCAUUGACGCUGAGGCGCGAAAGCCAGGGGAGCAAACGGG